GAGCGAAUGGCGCGUGCCUAUACAUGCAGUCGAGCGGACAGAUGGGAGCUUGCUCCCUGAUGUUAGCGGCGGACGGGUGAGUAACACGUGGGUAACCUGCCUGUAAGACUGGGAUAACUCCGGGAAACCGGGGCUAAUACCGGAUGCUUGAUUGAACCGCAUGGUUCAAUUAUAAAAGGUGGCUUUUAGCUACCACUUACAGAUGGACCCGCGGCGCAUUAGCUAGUUGGUGAGGUAACGGCUCACCAAGGCAACGAUGCGUAGCCAACCUGAAAGGGUGAUCGGCCACACUGGGACUGAAACACGGCCCAAACUCCUACGGGAGGCAGCAGUAGGGAAUCUUCCCCAAUGGACAAAAGUCUGACGGACCAACGCCGCGUGAGUGAUGAAGGUUUUCGGAUCGUAAAACUCUGUUGUUAGGGAAAAACAAGUACCGUUCGAAUAGGGCGGCACCUUGACGGAACC
rnacentral:rRNA from 1 species